AAGAUUAAGCCAUGCAUGUCUAAGUAUAAGCAAUUAUACAGCGAAACUGCGAAUGGCUCAUUAUAUAAGUUAUCGUUUAUUUGAUAGUGCCUUACUACUUGGAUAACCGUGGUAAUUCUAGAGCUAAUACAUGCUAUAAGCCCCGACUUCGGAAGGGGCGUAUUUAUUAGAUUAAAAGCCAAUGCCCUCUGGGCUCACUGGUGAAUCAUGAUAACUUCACGAAUCGCACGGCCUUGCGCCGGCGAUGGCUCAUUCAAAUUUCUUCCCUAUCAACUUUCGAUGUUUGGGUAGUGGCCAAACAUGGUUGCAACGGGUAACGGAGGGUUAGGGCUCGACCCCGGAGAAGGAGCCUGAGAAACGGCUACUACAUCCAAGGAAGGCAGCAGGCGCGCAAAUUACCCAAUCCCGACUCGGGGAGGUAGUGACAAUAAAUACUGAUACAGGGCUCUUUCGGGUCUUGUAAUCGGAAUGAGUACAAUUUAAAUCUCUUAACGAGGAACAAUUGGAGGGCAAGUCUGGUGCCAGCAGCCGCGGUAAUUCCAGCUCCAAUAGCGUAUAUUAAAGUUGUUGUGGUUAAAAAGCUCGUAGUUGAACCUUGGGCCUGGCUGGCCGGUCCGCCUCACCGCGUGUACUGGUCCGGCCGGGCCUUUCCCUCUGUGGAACCUCAUGCCCUUCACUGGGUGUGCUGGGGAAACAGGACUUUUACUUUGAAAAAAUUAGAGUGCUUCAGGCAGGCCUAUGCUCGAAUACAUUAGCAUGGAAUAAUGAAAUAGGACGUGCGGUUCUAUUUUGUUGGUUUCUAGGACCGCCGUAAUGAUUAAUAGGGACAGUCGGGGGCAUCAGUAUUCAAUUGUCAGAGGUGAAAUUCUUGGAUCUAUUGAAGACUAACUACUGCGAAAGCAUUUGCCAAGGAUGUUUUCAUUAAUCAGGAACGAAAGUUAGGGGAUCGAAAACGAUCAGAUACCGUUGUAGUCUUAACCAUAAACUAUGCCGACUAGGGAUCGGACGAUGUUAUUUUUUGACUCGUUCGGCACCUUACGAGAAAUCAAAGUGCUUGGGCUCCAGGGGGAGUAUGGUCGCAAGGCUGA
rnacentral:rRNA from 1 species